rnacentral:tmRNA from 1 species
GGGGAUGCACCGGUUUCGACGGGGAUUUUGAAAUUCGAGGUAGCCAUUGGAAAUGGGUAAUUCCUUAAAAGCCCAAAACUUUUUUAAAAUAAACGACGAAUCUAAUUUCGCAAUGGCAGCCUAAGCUGCUGCCCAUCGGCCCGAUUACUCUCACCGAAUCGGUUCCCGGUGCCAAACAGGUGAGGCACUUUUGUUGCAAAGCUUUGAGCAAUAAAAAGAAUUUAUGAAGCUACUCCGACAUUAAGCCUGUUGUUCGGCGUUUUGAAGGAGGAAUUUUAAAAGAGCAACUGUAAUGGGAGAAGCCGCGGAUGAAGGGUUUUCGGACGUGGGUUCAAUUCCCACCAUCUCCAUUU